rnacentral:rRNA from 1 species
AUUGAACGCUGGCGGCAGGCUUAACACAUGCAAGUCGAGCGGGGUGAUGGUGCUUGCACUAUCACUUAGCGGCGGACGGGUGAGUAAUGCUUAGGAAUCUGCCUAUUAGUGGGGGACAACAUCUCGAAAGGGACGCUAAUACCGCAUACGUCCUACGGGAGAAAGCAGGGGAUCACUUGUGACCUUGCGCUAAUAGAUGAGCCUAAGUCGGAUUAGCUAGUUGGGGGGGUAAAGGCCUACCAAGGCGACGAUCUGUAGCGGGUCUGAGAGGUUGUUCCGCCACACUGGGGCGGAGACACGGCCCAGACUCCUACGGGAGGCAGCAGUGGGGAAUAUUGGACAAUGGGGGGAACCCUGAUCCAGCCAUGCCGCGUGUGUGAAGAAGGCCUUAUGGUUGUAAAGCACUUUAAGCGAGGAGGAGGCUCUUUUGGUUAAUACCCAAGAUGAGUGGACGUUACUCGCAGAAUAAGCACCGGCUAACUCUGUGCCAGCAGCCGCCGUAA